rnacentral:rRNA from 1 species
UCUACCUGCAGUCGACGCUGACCACUUUCGGGUGGGGAUGAGUGGCGAACGGGUGAGUAACACGUGGGUAAUCUGCCCUGCACUCUGGGAUAAGCCUUGGAAACGAGGUCUAAUACCGGAUAUCACCACCGUGGGCAUCCAUGGUGGUUGAAAGUUCUGGCGGUGCAGGAUGAACCCGCGGCCUAUCAGCUUGUUGGUGGGGUAAUGGCCUACCAAGGCGACGACGGGUAGCCGGCCUGAGAGGGUGACCGGCCACACUGGGACUGAGACACGGCCCAGGCUCCUACGGGAGGCAGCAGUGGGGAAUAUUGCACAAUGGGCGCAAGCCUGAUGCAGCGACGCCGCGUGAGGGAUGACGGCCUUCGGGUUGUAAACCUCUUUCGCCAGGGACGAAGCGCAAGUGACGGUACCUGGAUAAGAAGCACCGGCUAACUACGUGCCAGCAGCCGCGGUAAUACGUAGGGUGCGAGCGUUGUCCGGAUUUAUUGGGCGUAAAGAGCUCGUAGGCAGUUUGUCGCGUCGGCCGUGAAAUCUCCACGCUUAACGUGGAGCGUGCGGUCGAUACGGGCAGACUUGAGUUCGGUAGGGGAGACUGGAAUUCCUGGUGUAGCGGUGAAAUGCGCAGAUAUCAGGAGGAACACCGGUGGCGAAGGCGGGUCUCUGGGCCGAUACUGACGCUGAGGAGCGAAAGCGUGGGGAGCGAACAGGAUUAGAUACCCUGGUAGUCCACGCUGUAAACGUUGGGCGCUAGGUGUGGGCGACAUCCACGUUGUCCGUGCCGUAGCUAACGCAUUUAAGCGCCCCGCCUGGGGAGUACGGCCGCAAGGCUAAAACUCAAAGGAAUUUGACG